rnacentral:rRNA from 1 species
UACGGAGGGUGCAAGCGUUAUCCGGAUUCACUGGGUUUAAAGGGUGCGUAGGAGGGCAGGUAAGUCAGUGGUGAAAUCUCCAAGCUUAACUUGGAAACUGCCGUUGAUACUAUCUGUCUUGAAUAUUGUGGAGGUGAGCGGAAUAUGUCAUGUAGCGGUGAAAUGCUUAGAUAUGACAUAGAACACCUAUUGCGAAGGCAGCUUACUACGCAGAUAUUGACGCUCAUGCACGAAAGCGUGGGGAUCAAACAGG